CAAGAGGUUUGUCCCUUACACAAUCGUCUGAUCCCUUUUAAUUGUUAGCGACUAACACGUGCGAAACAAUUAUAUCUACUGAGCCUUGUGUAUCUAAUUACAACUUUUACAUGUUGCUCUCUUAGUUUAGAUAUUGCUUUAGCAUAGUCUAAUGCUUGUAUUCUAAUUAUUACUUUCAUAGUGUAGAUGAAUUUGAUUUCUCAAAAGAAACAUUCUAACAACUCACAUGUACUUUCAGCACCUAAGAUGUCCCGAUUGACUUGCAUAAAUGAGCCUACGCUGCUUUAGAAAUCGCGAUCUAAUAACUCUUCCACUAAUAGGUUUGUACCUCCUCUUUCAUUGCGACAUUAAUUUCAAGCCAGUAGGUUAGUACCUCCCUUAUCUCCAACAUCUCAAUCCCCCAAAACUUCUCUAUACCAGCUUCGCAAAAUUGCAACUCGGUCAACCAUCGAAAAUAUUUCCACUUGUUAUGCUCCUUUAAUUGAGACUACUCGUACUCCUACACAUCCUGAGACACCAACUAGGACUCUUCCUAAUCCAGGUGCAAAUAUGAUCUCUCCAACAACAAGCCUGAUCAACCACCUUCUCAUCCUAUGAGUGCUGUUCGUCGUCACCCAAGUUGUAAACAAAGGUUCAGUGACCUGGGAACUCAAAGGGAGGAAUCCGAGCCAUUUACUGUGUUUGGAGGUUGAAAAUCUGAUUGUAUUUACUGAAAAGCACAGCAGAAAGUGAACAUUUUCAUAGAGCUGAAGAAGAUAAUGAGGCAUUGGACGAUGAAAUAGACGAUUCUGAAGGUAUAGGUAUAGGUGUAGGACACUUGCCAAGGACUCUCGAUGAUCAUCCUACUCGAGGAGCAUGUAAACAAAUUAAGACAUCUCGUAUCGUUCGUACAACUUGAGAGAAAAUUCGAGUUUUAUACAAUUUAGUAAGCAGACGAGCAACAAGUUCUGAAGUACAUGAUUUGUUGGUUCACGAUAUCGGAGCCAUCAUUCGUUCACAUUGCCCAAUGAAUAUGAGUUAUUAGCAAACCAUUUCUCCAAGUGAGAAAAAUGACCUUAUGGAUGAGAUCACGGUAAGCAUGCGCAAAUGUAUUUAUGCUGCUGGAAAAUUAAUAGCGGAAUAAAACUACAUGAAUCAAUUAAAAGCACAUUAUUCAUUUGAUUUUGCAAUGUUAUUUAUAUUUACUUUGUGCCUUAUUUUCUAGAAUUGGGUAGUUCGUUAUAA